UGGGGAAUUUUGGACAAUGGGCGAAAGCCUGAUCCAGCAAUGCCGCGUGUGUGAAGAAGGCCUUCGGGUUGUAAAGCACUUUUGUCCGGAAAGAAAUCCUUGGCUCUAAUACAGUCGGGGGAUGACGGUACCGGAAGAAUAAGCACCGGCUAACUACGAGCCAGCAGCCGCGGUAAUACGUAGGGUGCAAGCGUUAAUCGGAAUUACUGGGCGUAAAGCGUGCGCAGGCGGUUUGCUAAGACCGAUGUGAAAUCCCCGGGCUCAACCUGGGAACUGCAUUGGUGACUGGCAGGCUAGAGUAUGGCAGAGGGGGGUAGAAUUCCACGUGUAGCAGUGAAAUGCGUAGAGAUGUGGAGGAAUACCGAUGGCGAAGGCAGCCCCCUGGGCCAAUACUGACGCUCAUGCACGAAAGCGUGGGGAGCAAACAGGAUUAGAUACCCUGGUAGUCCCACGCCCUAAACGAUGUCAACUAGUUGUUGGGGAUUCAUUUCCUUAGUAACGUAGCUAACGCGUGAAGUUGACCGCCUGGGGAGUACGGUCGCAAGAUUAAAACUCAAAUGAAUUGACGGGGUCAUAGCUGUUUCCU
rnacentral:rRNA from 1 species